rnacentral:rRNA from 1 species
UACGUAGGGUGCAAGCGUUAAUCGGAAUUACUGGGCGUAAAGCGUGCGCAGGCGGCUUUGUAAGACAGAUGUGAAAUCCCCGGGCUCAACCUGGGAACUGCAUUUGUGACUGCAUAGCUAGAGUAUGGGAGAGGGAAGUGGAAUUUCAGGUGUAGCGGUGAAAUGCGUAGAUAUCUGAAGGAACAUCAGUGGCGAAAGCGACUUCCUGGACCAAUACUGACGCUCAUGUGCGAAAGCGUGGGGAGCAAACAGG